AUUGUAACAAAAUAAAAUGACUACAAACUACUAUCAACAAGAAGAAAUAGAGUUGUUCAACAAGGCAAUCACAUAUAGGGGCCUAUCUUGGUGUAAUAAAUAUACAUGCAAAGUCUUUGUGCUUAUAGCUGUCAAUUAAAUGAGAGAUUAUUGUAGUGUCUAUUUGCAUAACGAGACUUUGACUAAAUCCAAACAGAUAUAUAAGUUUGUUUAUAUCCCAUUAAUGCACUAAUUAUUGAAUGUUUGAACAGAUAAAAAUAGAAGAAUAUUCAGCUUUUUCGACUGCUUGAAAAGCAUGAUUGCUCCAUAGACAAAUAUGGUGUUAGAAAUUUAUUCAACCUUCCUAUUAAAACUUGCAGAUUUUCGGAGGGCCAUUUAGAAUUUGGAAGUCAUCAAGUAACUUUACAAGUUUGAGCUGCAAAUGRGAUGGAACCACAACAAGACCAAUUAAUGAUUCUUGGCACAUUGCACAUGUAGAGAGAGCAACCAAGUUGUGGAUAUUCUUGCAACUUUGAUGUGACAACAAGGAAAAUUGUUUUUUCUWAUUUGUAAUCAAUGCAUGACCGACCUCUUGAGGUAUGUAUUGCAGUAAAAGAAGAUUUUCAUCUGGAUGCCUAAAAUUAGGCAUUCUUGGGCAAAUCUAAAUGUUUUGUAAAAUGGAAGUUUGAACUAUAACUUGUUUCUUUUUCUAUUGCUUUGGUUGCCCCGCUGUUAAGAGGUAGCUAAAAGGUCUAUGUUUAUGUUCCCCUCUCAAAUAGGGGUUUGUAUGAAGCUUUCUCUAGUUGACUUUGGCUCUUGGCUGGAAGAUGGGUAGGGGAGGUUCAAGUCACCUAGAAAUUUGGUUGCAAACUUGCUGGUAGAAAUUUGGAUCUGCUUGAGACCUUUUAUAACCUAGCCUUUUAGUUGUAAAAAACCAUCUGAGAUGCACUAUGUUUUAUGGUAGAAGUUUAGUUAUUUGCUUA